AUAUUUAUAUACUAGUGGUUAGGCCGCAGCGCUCUCACUGCUGCGGCCCGGGUUCAAUUCUCGGCCAGGGAG